UACAGAGGGUGCGAGCGUUAAUCGGAAUUACUGGGCGUAAAGGGCGUGUAGGUGGUUGGGUAAGUUAGAUGUGAAAUCCCCGGGCUUAACCUGGGAACUGCGUUUAAAACUGCUCGACUAGAGUAUUGCAGAGGAUAGUGGAAUUUCCAGUGUAGCGGUGAAAUGCGUAGAUAUUGGAAGGAACACCAGUGGCGAAGGCGACUAUCUGGGCAAAUACUGACACUGAGACACGAGAGCAUGGGGAGCAAACAGG
rnacentral:rRNA from 1 species